rnacentral:sRNA from 1 species
AACCCCCAGCUAGGCUGGGGGUUCCGGAAAGCUUUCAGCUUUGAGCCAGUUAUUAAAACCCCUUUUGAUUUGUUAAAACACCUUGCGGUCUGGCAACUGCAAGGUGUUUUAACAAAUCAAAAG